ensembl:lncRNA
CUCCAACAAGUAAAGAUGGCACUGUAUUGUGUAGGCAAGGAUGUUACAUACUUUUCCUUGCUUACUUGGCUUUUCAGUUGGGAGAAGUAGUCUUUCUUGCUUUGGAGUUAUACUUUUGUCUUCAGUGAGUGCUUCAUAGGAGCUGAAGUAGAGCUAGCAUCACUCAGGACAUCUGUGAGUUUUAAGCAGUUUUUCCCAUCCGAAUGGGACCAGAUAAUUUCCACUGCCAGCUGAAUAGCAGAACACCAGCCAGAGAAAACAUUAAGUGCAUUUCCAUGUUUGAUGCUAAUGGCCAGAGAAAGAAGAAUGGAUAAAUGGUGUUCACUCCAUUUAUCCUGAAGCACAACAGACUGCACAAUUUCCUUUAAUAAGCCCCUGUAGCACAGGCAAGAAGUGAUGGUCCUGGUUCUUGGUGCUUCUGUUAAUUUGCCAAUGAAACAUGGAAGUCAUGGAUGGUUUCUGCAUUGUUUAUUGCAGCUUUUACCCCUGCAGCCAGAUUCUCCAAACUGCUAUUUUGUUUUUUCAAUGAAGGCUUCAGAAGGGAUUUUGUAAACAAAAAACAAAACAAAACAAAACAAAAAAAUACCCCAAACAAAGCUGCUGGAGAGUGAAAGGCUGUUAGCAGCUGAUUUCUUAGAGGAGGUAAGUUUAUAAAUGACUAGAAAAAGGCAGAAGGAUAUCUGGUUACACACGUGUGGACACACCUUUGCACUGCUCCUCAGGAGUGUCCAAGGGUGUGAAGCUUGCCUCGGGGUUGCAGUUACACUCUACACUGUGUGCCCAGCACGAGGCUAAACCGAUGUUUUUUCCUGCAGACAAAAAUUUAACAGGAGUUCUGGAUAAAGUAGGAAAAGGGUCACUAAUUCUGUUUAAACAUCUGGGUCAUACAGAUGACAUACAGGGUCGAUCAGCACAGGCAUACCGUCCUCUUUGUGGUCGGCACUACGGCUGUCCAGUGGACUUUCCCUACAUGUACACUUGACAAAGAGCGAAAAGGGAAAGCACCUCAAGCCCAGCUCAAGGGUGGGUUGUUUGCUCCAGCAUCGACCUGUACUCCCAUUCUCAUCGUACAUCCAGAUCCCUGCCCGGGACGGCUUCUCCUCGCGUGUCCGCUGCUCGGGCCUGUGGCGGCGGGGCAGGGGGGAGAGGACACGGGCGGUCAGAGCUAAAGGAGUGGGAAUUCUGUCAGGGAACGGGGAGAAGCCAAACCUACAAAAAAGUAAGGUAACUGUAAUAAACCCCCGGACUAAGAAGCGGGCUCGCGGUCUGCCAGGGCCAACCGGCCUCCUCGGGCAGCCUCGCCGGGCCGCGGGAGCGACCGCAGUCAGCCGGGAGCAGUGGGAGGGGGAGGAGGAGCAGGAGCAGGAGGGGCAGCGGAGGGAGGAGGAGCAGCGGAGGGAGGAGGCAGCGCUGGCAGCCGGGCGGGGAGGGGGCACGCGGCGCCGAGGAGGAGGAGGACUAAGAUGGCCACCAGCUGCCUCGGGGAGCGGCCCCGCUCCCUCCGCGGCCCCCUCGGCGCGGCCCGGCCUUGAUGGGGCCGGGACGAUCCCGGCGCCCGGACGGUGCAGCAGUGGCGGCGGCGGCGGCGGCGCCUCCCGCCGAAGCCCGCCCGGGAGGAGCCGUCCUCCCGGCCCGGCCCGCACCGCCCGGCCGCGGCCGCCGCGCCGCGUAACGCCCCGAGCCGAGCCCUGCUCGCGGAGAGACAGAAUACAGCGGAGAGAGGACGGCGAGGAGCGCCGGACCGCCCGCAGCCCCUCCCCGGGCCGGCACAGCGGCACCGCUGCCCCUCGUGAGAGAGCAGCUUUGGUGUUGAAAUGA